UACGAAGGGGGCUAGCGUUGCUCGGAAUUACUGGGCGUAAAGCGCACGUAGGCGGAUCUUUAAGUCAGGGGUGAAAUCCUGGAGCUCAACUCCAGAACUGCCUUUGAUACUGGGGACCUUGAGUUCGGGAGAGGUGAGUGGAACUGCGAGUGUAGAGGUGAAAUUCGUAGAUAUUCGCAAGAACACCAGUGGCGAAGGCGGCUCACUGGCCCGAUACUGACGCUGAGGCACGAAAGCGUGGGGAGCAAACAGGG
rnacentral:rRNA from 1 species